CACUCCGCGAUAACACACUAAAACGCACAAAAACGAGCUCGAAAAGCAUCAACGCUACUCAUCGUGCCGAGUUUUCACAUAACGCCACCUUAAAGCAAGUUAUCGCAAGUUAACGCGCGUUAAAGCGAGUUAAAGCGGUCAGCGUCUGCUCGACUUUUGAACCAAAGAAAUCGAUCUUGCAACCAUGCCGUCUUGAAUCGAGCAGUUUUUGAUCGUGUUUGGCAACUCGUUUUUUUGUUUUGAUUUUUUUUCCUGCAGUUUUCACGGAGAAAAUAAACACAGCAACCUGUGAGUUUUUUUUAUCGCUAACGAUCGGAAAUGUGGGAAAUGUUUACUUUUGUGUGAAUGUCGGUUUCAGCCCACUCGGUUUCAAAAACGCUGCUGGUUUGUGCCGCUCCGCUGGGAGUCCCCUGGAGCAGAUGGAAUCGUUCCGUUUGCUGGCACCGACGAUGAACGAGUUAAGUUUAAACCCGCGGAGUGGAACUUGCAGAACCGGAACCGGAAAGACAUACAGAGAUUUUUGGACCAUGAGGCAAGAAUUUGCAUCGAGGCCAACCGGACCGAGCGGACUAAGAUCAAAAAGAUGAUGCCCAAGAAGCAGCACUAGAACCGCGUGAAUUAAGAUAAGCUGAUCGAGGAGAAGUACGUGCUGCACAUCAAGAACUCGGUCGAUUAUCACCGACGUACGACGUCGGGGUCAAUCUGCGCAAAAGUGGUGCCACCGGCCGGUGCUUGCUGCCGUAGACACAAAUCCACACCUGAACCGGUCACACUAAGGACAUUUCUGCCAUCCAGUGGUCCCCCAAAAUCGGCCCACCUAUUGCUGUCCUGCAGCAUGGACGACCGGAUCAUUAUCUUGAAGGUUUACUACCAGCGGCAUUGCUUGCGAACCUGCUCGGAGCAGGUCGUGCGGGAGGACUCGGAAUACAAGAGCUUCUGACUAGAAGACCAAUGGGACACACGCAGUCUGAGCUCGGUCAACACGAUCACAUUCGUCGAUGAUAACUGGUGCUUCGUGACAACCUCCGACCGAUCUCUCCUCCGACAACGAAUGCUUGUGAGACAUUCCGGUAGACAUGGAUACGCCGAUCCAACGAUGCCCGCAGGUUAGGCUAUCUACGAACGGCUAGUGGCUCGCCUUCCAGAGCUUGGAAAAUAAGAAUUGUCGUGUUUCUCCUGCUCCUCGCGGAUACUAAUGGCCACAUGGGUGCGUCUAAUGGAGGUCCGCUGUUGAAUCUGGACUUCCGUGAGGACAGCACCAAAAGGAACAGCUUGCCUGGAAUUUAACAAGGGGGGGCAUUCCCGAGCCACCGGCACUCAUUGAAGGGACCAUCCCGCGCAGCGAAGAUGACCUAUCUGCAAGUCCAAAGAUCUGCAAGGUGCUGCAGUUCCGUUGCGCCAAGGUGCCGACCUUCCUAAAACAUGGCCACCAAGAAAAUUCUGCACUUCGCCGAUCCGUACUUCACUUACGGCUACCUCUCGCUCAAGACGAUCCACAGUCCGGCUUCGUCAAGCACCGACAAUGUUGAAUCACGAUCACGGACAACUUUAAGAUUAAGCGCUGGACGCACCCAACCAGCUGGGCAGUAUUCCGAGAAAGAAUCGAGCAGCGUUCAAUAAUGGUGGCAACUCCAAGCUGGACGUUCCCGAGUCACUGGUCUCGCGCAUCAACUUUCGCACCCGAUCCCGCUUCCGAUCUACCACGGCCCCGGUCUGACCCGUUUUCUCCUCGAAUUAAACUGAUGUUUUACAAAAGAAAUCAAAACAGUUAUAAAUAAAGAAUUAUAUAUUUUAUUUUAUUCUGUUCAGUUUCCUUCAGCAAAUGAUUAGUUUGUUAAAAGAAAACGCAUUACUGUCUGUUGCAAUUACAGUACUUUGCGGGGGAGAGCCACCACGCCCGGCAGUUCGACCAGACGUUUCCUCCGCCGUGGACCUUCUGGUGUUUUUGCCGGCUAUUGUUUAAGGAACAUCCGCUUGGCCGAUGUUUGAUCCAAGCUUCACACUUCCAAGAGAAGGUUAGACAGCAGCGACGGAUUAAUCAAGCCCGCGUCCGCGAUAAUUCUUGCGAUUCUUGGGAAUGUGGUACGAGGACACGUGCGGUUCGUUCAGCAACAGUUGACUGCACCGUGUGGAUCGUCCAGAACCCACUAACACAAUCUGUGGCUUCAACUCCUUUCGUGUGAUCGGUGGGCUGCAGGUUUUAGCCCUGCGCAGGUUCAUCGUUACAUCACUGUUGGUAGGCUCUUCGAACCCAACACCCAUCCUGCGAAACAAAGCAAGUCAGUUUUCAUUAAUAUUCCGUCCGGAAGUUGCACUCGAUGAAGCCGGGCUGCUGGUGUCCCUCUUGACCUGCACAACGCGGCGAGAAUCUUGCUUCCUCCACUCCGGGCGCCACCGUUUUUUUGACCACCAUCCUUCCGGUGAUGGAGAAAAAUUGAGCAAAACAAACUGCUCGACUGAUUUGACAACGAGAACUGUCGUUUGCUCUUGACAGUUCUCGCUGUCAAAAAAAAUCGAGCAGUGUGAAGCGAGAACGCAAGAAAAGGCAAGCCAAAAAGCAAGUUAUCGCGGUUAACGCGCGUUAAAGCAAGUUAAAGCGGAAAGGUGAAAGUGAACGCUGCAUAGGUUUGAAAAGGAAUCUUUAUCGCUCGGUUAGCGCGGAAGUGACGUCCCCCUCGAUUAUUUUUAUAAUUUUAUACGAUUUUGAGAUAAUCAAUACCUUGAACAAUCUAUUUUUUGUUUAAGGAAUAUUUACUGGGUAAUUUUUAAUGCACUGUUUUUCCUGAUGUCACUGUCAUUCGACCAUAUUAAGUAAAAUUUGAUCAUUUAAUAUUUAUUUGCAAAUGCUGUAGAAUUUUUAAAAUACAAUUUUCAACAAUUUAUCAUUAUUUGUCUAUUAUUUUUAUAUUUUUCCUAAUUCUUCAUUUAUCAAAUUAUCUUUUAUUUCAUCUUUUAUUUGAAGCGAGUACAAAUGUAGAGCUGGCUGAAGUAGAUGAAAUAAUUCGUAUGGGUUCUAGAGCUUUUGCCAUGUGUGGUAGCGAAAUAGUGCCAUUCAGCAAAACCCCCAAUAUCUGCCUGAAAGAUUGAUCAUACCGAUUUUUUAUAUUGUGAGCCAGUUUCAUCUGAAUAAUUGAUGAUUUUUUUCAAUUCUGGUACAUUUGAUUUCAAAAACAAAACCAUAUACUUCUGAUACAUGUGGGCAGCAGCUGUAUCGUUUUCCAAGAUUUCGAAAUGAUUGAAAAACAAAAAAAGAUUAUUGUUCGGACGGUGUCGAAAUCAACACAACUGAAUUUGAUCUUCAUCAGCGAGAACAAAUGUAGAGCUGGCUGUAGUAGAUGAAAUAGUUCUAGAGCUUUUGCCAUGUGUGGUAGCGAAAUAGUGCCAUUCAACAAAAAUAUCAAAAUCUGCCUUACGGUUUGAAAGAUUGAUCAUAUU